rnacentral:misc_RNA from 1 species
GAUGAAGAACGCAGUGAAAUGCGAUAAGUAAUGUGAAUUGCAGAAUUCAGUGAAUCAUCGAAUCUUUGAACGCACCUUGCGCCCUUUGGCCAUUCCGAAGGGCAUGCCUGUUUGAGUAUCAUGAACACCUCAACUCUUCAUGGUUUUCCAUGAUGAGCUUGGACUUUGGGGGUCUUGCUGGCCUGUGGGUCGGCUCCUCUCAAAUGAAUCAGCUUGCCGGUUUUUGGUGGGCAUCACAGGUGUGAUAACUAUCUACGCUUGGGGUUUUCCACCAGGGUAACCUUCAGCAGUGGAGGUUCACUGGAGCUUACAAAUGUCUCUCCUCUGUGAGGACAGCCCUUUGAAUGUUUGAUCUCAAAUCAGGUAGGACUACCCGCUGAACUUAAGCAUAUCAAUAAGCGGAGGA